ensembl:snRNA
GUGUUAUGAACAGAGAGAAGAUUAGCAUUCCCCCUGACAAGAGUGAAAGAGGACUCACACCUCAGGACUGACACGAUGCAUAUGGUUAAGGCAUUGCCAUCUACUUCAUGGCAUCUAACCAUCAUUUUUU